rnacentral:rRNA from 1 species
UCGGGAAUUUUGGGCAAUGGGCGAAAGCCUGACCCAGCAACGCCGCGUGAAGGAUGAAGUAUUUCGGUAUGUAAACUUCGAAAGAAUAGGAAGAAUAAAUGACGGUACUAUUUAUAAGGUCCGGCUAACUACGUGCCAGCAGCCGCGGUAAUACGUAGGGACCAAGCGUUGUUCGGAUUUACUGGGCGUAAAGGGCGCGUAGGCGGCAAUUCAAGUCAUCUGUGAAAUCUCCGGGCUUAACUCGGAACGGUCAGAUGAUACUGCUUUGCUAGAGUGCAGAAGGGGCAAUCGGAAUUCUUGGUGUAGCGGUGAAAUGCGUAGAUAUCAAGAGGAACACCUGAGGUGAAGACGGGUUGCUGGGUUAACACUGACGCUCAUGCACGAAAGCGUGGGGAGCAAACAGGAUUAGAUACCCAUGUAGUCCCUGAGCGGGCUGGCAAGGCGCAU